rnacentral:rRNA from 1 species
GAUGAACGCUGGCGGCGUGCCUAAGACAUGCAAGUCGAGUGGGUUUAGGCCCACGGCGAACGGGUGAGUAAUACCUAGGAACAUCCCUCUAGUUGAGCAUAACCUGCCGAAAGGCAGGAUAAUUCUCAAUGUGGCAGCAAUACUAAAGUCGCAAGACGCUAGAUAAAUGGCCUGGGCACCAUCAGCUAGUUGGUAAGGUAAAGGCUUACCAAGGCUAUGACGGUUAGGGGCCCCGAGAGGGGAAACCCCCCACACUGGAACUGCGACACGGUCCAGACUCCUACGGGAGGCAGCAGUUUGGAAUUUUGGACAAUGGGCGAAAGCCUGAUCCAGCGACGCCGCGUGGGACGAUGAAGGCCUUCGGGUUGUAAAGUCCUUUUUGCAAGGGAAGAAUUUCAUGACGGUACCUUGCGAAUAAGAGGUUGCUAACUC